UUCUGGAACGCCUCGCCCGACCGGUGUCGGUGUCGGCUGUGCGCGUUCGUCACUUGUCUGACUUGUCUUUGCGCCGACGACGAUGACCGCGAGUCAUGCAGCACAUGCAGCUUUCGUCUUGACAACCAUUUGACAACGUAGUCCGUGAACGGGUGUCCCGUAGCGACUUCGUCGUGACUGCCUCAGAGAACGUCUAGUACUGCCUUUGCUUGAUUGACGGACGUCGAGGGCGAAACAGAGCGAAGGUGCUGCAAUGCGCUGCCUUGCCACAACAAGUGAUGCAAGCCAGAAAGACCAUUACGUGAAGCAGUGAUGGGCGAACAUAUACGUGGAGAACGAACGAAGUGAUUGUGCGAGCAGGCCAAGGCAGAAAGUUGCAAGGAGACUAUUAGUGCCACGAAACCAGCCACCGCCGCCUGUAGCAUCAUCCGGAGACACAGACAAAUAUGAUCGUCACGACCCAUAAAUGUCUCUUCGAUCACGGCCAGUACCCAUAAGAGCCUUGGAGAUUUCUCGUUCAUGAUAAGUACGACGUCUCCUACUUUUACUACAAGCAGUGCCAUUGAUGUGGUGAGCUGAUUGUAGCUGUAAAAUAUAUUCCUUGUGCCAUCUCUUCCAGAAGGCAUCAAGGCAUGCUUUUCUUUGCCUCCAACGUCUUUGUAGUUCAUCUUUGGUCAAACUAGGCUUCGUCUCCGUGAUCUCGUCGUCAGGAAUGGAGACUGACCUUCGACCAAUCAGACAAUGAGCCGGUGUAAGCCGUGGCUCCUCCAGCUGACUUGGUAUUACUGUCAACAGACAAGAGUGUACUAUUGAUUAAACUUCUGUCAACACGGUCUCUAAUUCAACAUAGUUCAGCAAGGCUGUCUUCCAGGCCUGUUGUAGUGCUGUCUUUACUGUACGUAUCAGCCGUUCCCAGAAACCGCCCCACCAUGGGGCGCAGUCCGCUAUAAACUUCCAUUUAAUUCCAUUCUGCCUGAAGUACUGAAGUAUGCGUUCAUCUCGGACUGACUCACACAUACUUUUUAGUUCCUUUGAAGCUCUGUGAAUGGAGACAGA
rnacentral:lncRNA from 1 species